GAACAACUUUUUAACGGCCGCGGUAUCCUAACCGUGCGAAGGUAGCGUAAUCACUUGUUCUUUAAAUAAGGACUAGUAUGAACGGCUGCAUGAGGGCCUGCCUGUCUCCUGCGGCCAAUCAAUGAACCUGAUCUCCCAGUACAAAAGCUGGAAUAAACACAUAAGACGAGAAGACCCUGUGGAGCUUUAAACAAACCUUAACUCACCCCCUCCCCUGCACCUACAGGCUUAAAACCGGGGCAAUAAUCAACGUUUUAAGUUGGGGCGACUGCGGGGGAAAACACAACCCCCAUGAAACACGAACUAUUUCAAGUGGACACACUAAUAAUAGAAGUUUUGACCCAGUAUAACUGACCAACGAACCAAGUUACCCCAGGGAUAACAGCGCAAUCCCCUUCAAGAGUCCCUAUCGCCAAGGGGGUUUACGACCUCGAUGUUGGAUCAGGACAUCCAGAUGGUGUAGCCGCUAUCAAGGGUUCGUUUGUUCAACGAUUAACAGUCCU
rnacentral:rRNA from 1 species